GAUGAACGCUGGCGGCGUGCCUAAUACAUGCAAGUCGAGCGAACAGUUAAGGAGCUUGCUCCUUUGACUUUAUCGGCGGACGGGUGAUUAACACGCGGUUAACCUACCUAUAAGACUGGGAUAACUUCGGGAAACCGUAUCUAAUACCGGAUAACAUUUGGAACCGCAUGGUUCUAAAGUUAAAGAUGGUUUUUCUAUCACUUAUAGAUGGACCCGCGCCGUAUUAGCUAGUUGGUAAGGUAACGGCUUACCAAGGCUACGAUACGUAGCCGACCUGAGAGGGUCGUCGGCCACACUGGAACUGAGAAUGGGUCCAGACUCCUGCGGGAGGCAGCAGCAGAGAAUCUUACGCAAUAGGCGAAUGCCUGACGGAGCACCGUGGCGUGAGUCAUGAAGGAGUUAGGCUCGUAAAACUAUGUUAUUAGGGAAGAACAAAUGUGUAAGUACCUGUGAACGUAUUGACGGUACCUAAUCAGAAAGCCACGGCUAACUACGUG
rnacentral:rRNA from 1 species